AAAGGGUGACACCGGCUACGGAUGGCCAUGCGGCGCAUUAGCUGGUUGGCGGGGUAACGGCCCACCAAGGCGACGAUGCGUAGGGGUUCUGAGAGGAAGGUCCCCCACACUGGUACUGAGACACGGACCAGACUCCUACGGGAGGCAGCAGUGAGGAAUAUUGGUCAAUGGGCGCGAGCCUGAACCAGCCAAGUCGCGUGAGGGAAGACGGUCCUAUGGAUUGUAAACCUCUUUUGUCGGGGAGCAAAAGACGCCACGCGUGGCGUUCCGAGAGUACCCGAAGAAAAAGCAUCGGCUAACUCCGUGCCAGCAGCCGCGGUAAUACGGAGGAUGCGAGCGUUAUCCGGAUUUAUUGGGUUUAAAGGGUGCGCAGGCGGAAGAUCAAGUCAGCGGUAAAAUUGAGAGGCUCAACCUCUUCGAGCCGUUGAAACUGGUUUUCUUGAGUGAGCGAGAAGUAUGCGGAAUGCGUGGUGUAGCGGUGAAAUGCAUAGAUAUCACGCAGAACUCCGAUUGCGAAGGCAGCAUACCGGCGCUCAACUGACGCUCAUGCACGAAAGUGUGGGUAUCGAACAGGAUUAGAUACCCUGGUAGUCCACACAGUAAACGAUGAAUACUAAUUGUUCGGGGAGAAUGAUC
rnacentral:rRNA from 1 species